rnacentral:rRNA from 1 species
UCCUACGGGCGGCUGCAGUGGGGAAUAUUGGACAAUGGGCGCAAGCCUGAUCCAGCCAUGCCGCGUGAGUGAUGAAGGCCUUAGGGUUGUAAAGCUCUUUUGCCGGGGACGAUAAUGACGGUACCCGGAGAAUAAGUCCCGGCUAACUUCGUGCCAGCAGCCGCGGUAAUACGAAGGGGACUAGCGUUGUUCGGAAUCACUGGGCGUAAAGCGCACGUAGGCGGAUUUGUAAGUCAGGGGUGAAAUCCCGGGGCUCAACCUCGGAACGGCCUUUGAUACUGCGAGUCUUGAGUCCGAUAGAGGUGGGUGGAAUUCCUAGUGUAGAGGUGAAAUUCGUAGAUAUUAGGAAGAACACCAGUGGCGAAGGCGGCCCACUGGAUCGGUACUGACGCUGAGGUGCGAAAGCGUGGGGAGCAAACAGGAUUAGAUACCCCGGUAGUCGGU